AUUGGACGCUGGCGGCAGGCUUAACACAUGCAAGUCGAGCGGGGUGAUGGUGCUUGCACUAUCACUUAGCGGCGGACGGGUGAGUAAUGCUUAGGAAUCUGCCUAUUAGUGGGGGACAACAUCUCGAAAGGGAUGCUAAUACCGCAUACGUCCUACGGGAGAAAGCAGGGGAUCACUUGUGACCUUGCGCUAAUAGAUGAGCCUAAGUCGGAUUAGCGAGUUGGUGGGGUAAAGGCCUACCAAGGCGACGAUCUGUAGCGGGUCUGAGAGGAUGAUCCGGCACACUGGGACUGAGACACGGCCCCGACUCCUACGGGAGGCAGCAGUGGGGAAUAUUGGACAAUGGGGGGAACCCUGAUCCAGCCAUGCCGCGUGUGUGAAGAAGGCCUUAUGGUUGUAAAGCACUUUAAGCGAGGAGGAGGCUCUUUUGGUUAAUACCCAAGAUGAGUGGACGUUACUCGCAGAAUAAGCACCGGCUAACUCUGUGCCAGCAGCCGCGGUAA
rnacentral:rRNA from 1 species